rnacentral:rRNA from 1 species
AUUGAACGCUGGCGGCAGGCCUAACACAUGCAAGUCGAGCGGAUGAAGGGAGCUUGCUCCUGGAUUCAGCGGCGGACGGGUGAGUAAUGCCUAAGAAUCUGCCUGGUAGUGGGGGACAACGUUUCGAAAGGAACGCUAAUACCGCAUACGUCCUACGGGAGAAAGCAGGGGACCUUCGGGCCUUGCGCUAUCAGAUGAGCCUAGGUCGGAUUAGCUAGUUGGUGAGGUAAUGGCUCACCAAGGCGACGAUCCGUAACUGGUCUGAGAGGAUGAUCAGUCACACUGGAACUAGGACACGGUCCAGACUCCUACGGAGGCAGCAGUGGGGAAUAUUGGACAAUGGGCGAAAGCCUGAUCCAGCCAUGCCGCGUGUGUGAAGAAGGUCUUCGGAUUGUAAAGCACUUUAAGUUGGGAGGAAGGGUUGUAGAUUAAUACUCUGCAAUUUUGACGUUACCGACAGAAUAAGCACCGGCUAACUCUGUGCCAGCCGCCGCGGUAAUAC